UAAUUACCUCACUUCGAAGAGCUGAAGUGGCUGAACCUCGAUCUUGUGGUUCCAUUGACAGGAGCUUAUCAACAAGAGUCAAAGCUGACGGAGGGAAAUGUUUGAAUGUCUCAGUAAUACAUCGUGCUUAACUGGGCAUCUUGAACUUGCGUGGAGAUAUGAAAAAUACUGUAGAGCUUAGAAGGAAUUUGAAGAUUCCGAAGCAUGGAAGAUUAGUAAUGCUUGUUGCCCAGUGCUGGCUAAGAUGCAAGCAAGAUGCCGUACAUGCAAAAUGAGCUUACCUCUGUUCUUCCAGGCAUGAUAGGCUUGCCAGCGAAUAAUUCAGCAAGAAUGCAGCCAGCACUCCACAUAUCUAUAGCAGGUCCAUACUCUGUAGCACCUAGCAAAAGCUCCGGUGCCCUAUACCAGAGAGUUACUACGCGACUUGUUAAAGGCUGACUCUGAUCAGGAUGAUAAAAAGUUGCCAGACCAAAGUCUGCAAUCUUGAGAACUCCAUCAUUGUUUAUCAGAAGAUUUGAGCCCUUGAUGUCUCGAUGCAAGACACCUUGUUUAUGGCAGUGCUCAAGUCCAUGUAGAAGUUGUUGCACGUAGCAUUUGAUCUGCAAGAACAGGUAAUUUCCUUGUAAGACAAGACAUGAAUGGCAAGUUGACGACGUUAUAUCACUUUCAUGGUAGCAGAAGAAGCUAAUUUCCAAGUAUGAAUAACCCUAAAAUUGAACAGAUAAGAACAUAGGUACCUGAGAUUCCGUAAACUUGAUGCUAGGAUUUGCUGCAAGCCCAGCAAGGUCAUGCUCCAUGUACUCAAACACAAGGUACAAGCUCCCUGACAUCCUCGAAGUGACUAUUCCUUCAAGUUUCAUAACAUUUGGAUGGUCAAGUUUACGCAAAUUAACAAUUUCCCUAGCCAUGAAGCGGACACUUUCCGGAUCCAUGUUGACAAACCGCACCUUCUUCAUUGCAACAAUUUUUCCAGUUUCAAGGUCACGAGCCUUGUAUACAGUACUGCAAGUGAAAAUAAGUUUCACAAGCAUGAACCUUGUCUAGCUUCUCAAAUGAGUCUGCUCGUCGAGGCAGCCACCCUUUGACGGCUUCUCCAGCAACUGCUGUUAACCAUUCUGGCCAUGCUUCCCUUUCAGAUCCAUGACGAACAUUCCCAACAUUUGCCUUCGACACAAGACGCACCGAUCCAUCUUUUUGGCCAAGAAAAUCUACCAACAUCUCUUCUUUCUUGGAUAUUGCAGGAGCAACCAUUUGCACAGAAGACUUAUCCACCUCUGUCUG